GGACUACAAGGGUAUCUAAUCCCGUUUGCUCCCCUGGCCUUCGUGCCUCAGCGUCAGUAACUGUCCAGAGAUUCGCCUUCGCCACUGGUCUUCCUUACGAUAUCUACGCAUUUCACUGCUACACCGUAAAUUCCAAUCUCCUCUCCAGUACUCUAGCAAGGCAGUAUCAAAUGCAGUUUCGGAGUUGAGCCCCGAGAUUUCACACCUGACUUGCCCCGCCGCCUACGCACCCUUUACGCCCAAUGAAUCCGAACAACGCUUGAGACCUCUGUAUUACCGCGGCGGCUGGCAC
rnacentral:rRNA from 2 species